rnacentral:rRNA from 1 species
CGGUGGAGUGAUUUGUUUGGUUGAUUCCGUCAACGGACGAGAUCCAAGCUGCCCAGUAGGGGUCUGAAUCGUCAUCUGAAGACAGCGCUCCGGUGCUGGCUCCGGCUUAGCACUUGGACUUUCUUCGGUUGGCUCCUUCUCUGCAGGAUUCCAGGCUUUGCGCUUGGUGAAAUUUUGGGCAACAGCA